GAUGGACGCUGGCGGCGUGCCUAAUACAUGCAAGUCGAGCGAACGGACGAGAAGCUUGCUUCUCUGAUGUUAGCGGCGGACGGGUGAGUAACACGUGGAUAACCUACCUAUAAGACUGGGAUAACUUCGGGAAACCGGAGCUAAUACCGGAUAAUAUUUUGAACCGCAUGGUUCAAAAGUGAAAGACGGUCUUGCUGUCACUUAUAGAUGGAUCCGCGCUGCAUUAGCUAGUUGGUAAGGUAACGGCUUACCAAGGCAACGAUGCAUAGCCGACCUGAGAGGGUGAUCGGCCACACUGGAACGGAGACACGGUCCAGACUCCUACGGGAGGCAGCAGUAGGGAAUCUUCCGCAAUGGGCGAAAGCCUGACGGAGCAACGCCGCGUGAGUGAUGAAGGUCUUCGGAUCGUAAAACUCUGUUAUUAGGGAAGAACAAAUGUGUAAGUAACUGUGCACAUCUUGACGGUACCUAAUCAGAAAGCCACGGCUAACUACGUG
rnacentral:rRNA from 1 species